UUAACUUAUUAAGUUUUUUAUUCAGAUUGACAAAAAUUAACAUAGUUUAGUAGUCCACCGGCGGUUAACCCACUAACAUUGCUGCCAGUGAGAGUCGCCGCCGAGGCAACAGUGGUAAGUUCACAAUGGUUUGGAGUUAAAAACUCAGUAAUGAUCCCUCCGCAGGUUCACCUACGGAGA
rnacentral:misc_RNA from 1 species